GGUAUCAGAAGUGCGAAUGCUGACAUAAGUAACGAUAAAGCGGGUGAAAAGCCCGCUCGCCGGAAGACCAAGGGUUCCUGUCCAACGUUAAUCGGGGCAGGGUGAGUCGACCCCUAAGGCGAGGCCGAAAGGCGUAGUCGAUGGGAAACAGGUUAAUAUUCCUGUACUUGGUGUUACUGCGAAGGGGGGACGGAGAAGGCUAUGUUGGCCGGGCGACGGUUGUCCCGGUUUAAGCGUGUAGGUGUGUGUUCCAGGUAAAUCCGGUUCACUUUAACACUGAGGCGUGACGACGAGGCACUACGGUGCUGAAGCAACAAAUGCCCUGCUUCCAGGAAAAGCCUCUAAGCAUCAGGUAACAUCAAAUCGUACCCCAAACCGACACAGGUGGUCAGGUAGAGAAUACCAAGGCGCUUGAGAGAACUCGGGUGAAGGAACUAGGCAAAAUGGUGCCGUAACUUCGGGAGAAGGCACGCUGACACGUAGGUGAAGUGAUUUACUCAUGGAGCUGAAGUCAGUCGAAGAUACCAGCUGGCUGCAACUGUUUAUUAAAAACACAGCACUGUGCAAACACGAAAGUGGACGUAUACGGUGUGACGCCUGCCCGGUGCCGGAAGGUUAAUUGAUGGGGUCAGCGCAAGCGAAGCUCCUGAUCGAAGCCCCGGUAAACGGCGGCCGUAACUAUAACGGUCCUAAGGUAGCGAAAUUCCUUGUCGGGUAAGUUCCGACCUGCACGAAUGGCGUAAUGAUGGCCAGGCUGUCUCCACCCGAGACUCAGUGAAAUUGAACUCGCUGUGAAGAUGCAGUGUACCCGCGGCAAGACGGAAAGACCCCGUGAACCUUUACUAUAGCUUGACACUGAACAUUGAGCCUUGAUGUGUAGGAUAGGUGGGAGGCUUUGAAGCGUGGACGCCAGUCUGCGUGGAGCCGACCUUGAAAUACCACCCUUUAAUGUUUGAUGUUCUAACGUGGACCCGUAAUCCGGGUUGCGGACAGUGUCUGGUGGGUAGUUUGACUGGGGCGGUCUCCUCCUAAAGAGUAACGGAGGAGCACGAAGGUUGGCUAAUCCUGGUCGGACAUCAGGAGGUUAGUGCAAUGGCAUAAGCCAGCUUGACUGCGAGCGUGACGGCGCGAGCAGGUGCGAAAGCAGGUCAUAGUGAUCCGGUGGUUCUGAAUGGAAGGGCCAUCGCUCAACGGAUAAAAGGUACUCCGGGGAUAACAGGCUGAUACCGCCCAAGAGUUCAUAUCGACGGCGGUGUUUGGCACCUCGAUGUCGGCUCAUCACAUCCUGGGGCUGAAGUAGGUCCCAAGGGUAUGGCUGUUCGCCAUUUAAAGUGGUACGCGAGCUGGGUUUAGAACGUCGUGAGACAGUUCGGUCCCUAUCUGCCGUGGGCGCUGGAGAACUGAGGGGGGCUGCUCCUAGUACGAGAGGACCGGAGUGGACGCAUCACUGGUGUUCGGGUUGUCAUGCCAAUGGCACUGCCCGGUAGCUAAAUGCGGAAGAGAUAAGUGCUGAAAGCAUCUAAGCACGAAACUUGCCCCGAGAUGAGUUCU
rnacentral:rRNA from 1 species